rnacentral:rRNA from 1 species
UUUGCGUCGAAGGUAUACCGGUAAGGAGUGCUGGAGCGAAUAGAAGUGAGCAUGCAGGCAUGAGUAGCGAUAAUUAAUGUGAGAAUCAUUAACGCCGUAAACCCAAGGUUUCCUACGCGAUGCUCGUCAUCGUAGGGUUAGUCGGGUCCUAAGUCGAGUCCGAAAGGGGUAGACGAUGGCAAAUUGGUUAAUAUUCCAAUACCAACAUUAGUGUGCGAUGGAAGGACGCUUAGGGCUAAGGGGGCUAGCGGAUGGAAGUGCUAGUCUAAGGUCGUAGGAGGUUGUACAGGCAAAUCCGUAUAACAAUACUCCGAGAACUGAAAGGCUUUUUGAAGUCUUCGGAUGGAUAGAAGAACCCCUGAUGCCGUCGAGCCAAGAAAAGUUUCUAAGUUUAGCUAAUGUUGCCCGUACCGUAAACCGACACAGGUGGGUGGGAUGAGUAUUCUAAGGCGCGUGGAAGAACUCUCUUUAAGGAACUCUGCAAAAUAGCACCGUAUCUUC